rnacentral:rRNA from 1 species
UACAGGGGGGGCAAGCGUUGUUCGGAAUUAUUGGGCGUAAAGGGUUCGUAGGCGGUCGACUCAGUCAGACGUGAAAUCCCUCGGCUUAACCGGGGAACUGCGUCUGAUACUGGUUGGCUUGAGUGCAGGAGAGGAAUGCGGAAUUCCAGGUGUAGCGGUGAAAUGCGUAGAUAUCUGGAGGAACACCGGUGGCGAAGGCGGCAUUCUGGACUGUAACUGACGCUGAGGAACGAAAGCCAGGGGAGCAAACGGG